GGAUAGCUCAGUUAGAGCAUGGUGCUGAUGAUGCUAAGGUUGCAGGUUCAAUCCCUGUGUGGGAUA
rnacentral:tRNA from 1 species